GACGAACGCUGGCGGCGUGCUUAACACAUGCAAGUCGAACGAGACGAUUGAAAGCUUGCUUUCGAAAGUCGAGUGGCAAACGGGUGAGUAACGCGUAGACAACCUGCCUUUGAGAUGGGGACAACAGUUCGAAAGGACUGCUAAUACCGAAUGUUGUAUAUUUUCCACAUGGAAGAUAUAUUAAAGAUGGCAUCUAUUUAUAAGCUAUCGAUCAAAGAUGGGUCUGCGUCUGAUUAGCUGGUUGGUGGGGUAACGGCCUACCAAGGCGACGAUCAGUAGCCGGUCUGAGAGGAUGAACGGCCACAUUGGGACUGAGACACGGCCCAGACUCCUACGGGAGGCAGCAGUGGGGAAUCUUCCACAAUGGACGAAAGUCUGAUGGAGCAACGCCGCGUGAGUGAAGAAGGGUUUCGGCUCGUAAAGCUCUGUUGUCGGGGACGAAUGUGCAGUAUUUGAAUAAAGUACUGCAAUGACGGUACCUGACGAGGAAGCCACGGCUAACUACGUGCCAGCCGCCGCGGUAA
rnacentral:rRNA from 1 species